GGUCGAAGCAUUAAUUUGUCUCAAUAAUUGGUGGAGCGGAUCACAUUAACCCAUCAUAACUCGAGAAUAUAUGGAAGAAGAAGAAGCGCUUCAAACAUCAGAGUAUCUUGAGUCAGAGAUGACCAAUGAUCCUACAAGUGCUGGGCCUGGGCCAGCUUCAUCCUCCGUCAAUUUUCAGUCUUCAGCCUCAUCUGCUGCACAACAAUCUACAAAUUAAAAGAAUUGCAAUUGCUUGAAUGAAGGAAAGGAAAGAAGGAAAGGGCAUGGACUUUUGCUGGUCAUGUAUUUUGAACUUUUAUAGACUUAAUUUAAUGUUUAUGGUUGUAGACAACUUAUGGACUUUAUUUUGGUUUUGUGGUUAACUAGUUAUGUACUUAAGUUUAUGGAUUUUAUCGUUGUUUAUUUAUGGUUGUAUUUUGGGACUUUGACAUUUUUAGUGUUUGAUUGACAUUAUAUUUUAACUUCUUUUUUCUUUUCUUAUUUUUUUUAAAUUAAAGGAUGUAUAAGUUUCAGCUUUACAAUUUGUUGAGUAUCUUUUUUUCCUUUUUGUUUGUGCCUUGUUCUGGUAACUGAACUCCAACCCAAGGGUAGGUUUUAUGUUGGUAUUAAAAAAAGAAUGGUGAUAUUGGUGCUUGACAAUUUCAGUCCACUGAUUUUGGUCCACAAUGUUACAUGAACACAUGGCUCCUGUUUUUUCUAGUCCAUACACUAGAGAUAAGUGCUUGAUCACUUCACCAUUAAUGAAGUGCAACCAUGGAUGGAAGGCCAAGCCAACUAGUGCCCCACGUUUUUCUUUGCAUUGAUUUUACUGUAUAAUUGCACAUAUAGGAAGACAAACAAAAGAAAAGAUGACAAAUUAAAAUGGGGACACAGAUUUAACAGUAACAGUAACAGUAGA